CUCUAGAGAGACUGCCAGGGAUAACCUGGAGGAAGGUGGGGAUGACGUCAAAUCAUCAUGCCCCUUAUGCUUAGGGCUACACACGUGCUACAAUGGGUAGUACAGAGGGUUGCAAAGCCGUAAGGUGGAGCUAAUCCCUUAAAGCUACUCUCAGUUCGGAUUGUAGGCUGAAACUCGCCUACAUGAAGCUGGAGUUACUAGUAAUCGCAGAUCAGA
rnacentral:rRNA from 1 species